rnacentral:lncRNA from 1 species
AUUCUCAAAAUAAUAUGAUCAACUUUAAUUUUACUCUUAAUAAUAGAGAUCCUUUUUUCUAUGUGAGACCCUUAAAAAUAAUAUUGAUGAUUCUAUAGAAAAGAAUGUUAUAGUAAAUUUACCUAGAUCUCUUCCUCAUUUCUUAAUAUUGGCAUGUCAAUGAGAAUCAAAACAUCAUAUAACCAUAAACUAUGUUGAUGAUUUCUUUUAUAGAAAUUAAAACUAGAAUAUAAUCAACUUAUAAUAGGGUAAAAGAGAUAAUUAGUAGUACCACAAUCCACAAAUUCAUAAUCCACCACGAGGUAACCUUGAGACAUCCCGUAACCACUGGUGUCAAACCUUUUAAAGACAUCUAUAUCCAAUUCAAGCCCUCCACUGCUACAGUUAUCAACAAUUCUUACUCUUUCGACGAGCUCAGUCAGAAAAAUUUUUGGCGAGGGAUUGUCCUAGAAAAAAUAUAUAUUGCGUAGACCAUCAACAUUGGCAGAGUUUAAAAUAUUACGUAAAGAGAGAAAUGUCGUUUUAAAUUGAAAAUAAAAUUGUUAUAUUAAUACAAAGCAAAUUGAAAAUAGUAAUUCAAAAUAAAAAAAGAAAUAUGCUUUUGCAACAUUCGAGCUAACAACACCAAGCAAUUUUCCAAGCAAUUUUUUUUUUAAACCUUCAUUACCGCCAGAACAGAAGCAACUGUGCAACUGUUAGCUUAUUGCUAAUUUACACCUUAGUGUUUUUAAAUAGGUAUAAAUUAGUGGUCCUUAUAUAUAUAUAUAUAUAUAUAUAUAUAUAUAUAUAUAUAUAUAUAAUUUAUACGAUAUUAUAAAGAAAACAACCCUUGCAACUCUUUUGGGUUGAGUUUCCCUAAAAAAAAAAAUUCUUUUGGGUUAACUUUUUUUCUUUCAAAAAAUACUCUCAAUUUUCAAUACAAAUAACACAUAUAACAAACAAAUAAAAAUAAAUUUAAAUAUUAAAAAAUAUAACAAACACAAUAUAAAUAAAUAUGUCUGAUGCAGCCUGCAAAUAAAUAGGGGGCAGAUAUUUGAACUCGUGAUGUAUGAGAUUCCAACCAGACUAUUUGACAUAGAGAAAAUAAGAACUAAACUGCAAACAUUAUACAUACAUAUGAUACAUCUAAGCACUUGCCACAAGCAGCUUUGCCAACAGGACCAACAGGUCCACAAAAAGCAGUCAAACCAUAUUUGCUUGGCCAUGAAAAUGAUUUGUUUCCAUCCUGAGCUGCACAUAAUACACCUGAUGUGUUCAAGUUCGAAGAAUUGAAAGAGCGAUAUUUAGCCUCUACAAACCUUGCACUUUGAGCUGAGGCCAAUGCUAGAACACAAAAUAUCAACACCAAAUCCAGAAGGAAAAUUUGCUUGAACAUAGUUUUGAAACUACAAAAGAGAGAAACUACCAAGUGGUGUGUUACUUGGAAGAAGUAGAAGUAGGUAGCAUAGAAGUUUUAGUUUAUAGGCAAAGGAAAAGCAUGAACCCGUGUUUUUAAAGGUGGUGAGAUUUGUGUGAGUCAAGGUACACUAAGCCAAAUGCAAAAAUAUUAUAAUUAAAGUUUGGUAACUAAAAACAAGAUUAAAUUUGGAUAAUAGUGUCUACAUUUUUUGUAAAAUAUGUCUAUAAAUAUCAAUUUGACAUGAUUUAAUUGAAAACAUUUGUAAAAAAAGUUUUAUACUAUUGAUGCAUAAAAAUUAAUCUCAUCAAAAGAAUAACACUAUAUCAGUCGCAUAUUUUGUAUAUAAUAAUAUAUAUGUUUUCUUUAAAAAAAAAUUGACAUGUCUAAUAAUUAGUUCUUUCAAAAAAAAAUGUCUAAUAAUUAGUUUUUAUCUUCCAAAAAAAAAUUAAUAUGUGGUAUCAAAUAUAUAAAGAAAAACAAUAAAUUUAUCUCAUAAUUAAAAAUUAUGUUUAUUUAUAUUAAGUGCAAAUUUUUCCUAAAAGAGGUCGUAACUAGAAACAGAUGCAAUAUUUUUUUUUCUUCAAAGUUCAAUCAACAUAAAUCAAAUAUUUCAAAUAGGGCGUUACAGAUCAAUUAUUUAAAAAGUUUGUAUCAAAUUAAUUACAUCCAAAAAAUUGUUGAUCCUUAGAGAUAUUUGUCUUAAUUAAAAAAUAAUAACGUCUAGAAUUUUCAUGAUUUAUAAACAUGAAAAAAUAAACUCCUUAAUUAUUUGAUCAAAGGUUUAUUUCAUGGCAUUCUUAAAUUUUUCUCGAAAAAAAGAGUUCUAUCUACUCUUUUGUGAAAAUGAUUAAAUGAGCUUUAACUAUAUUACUCAAUUAAUAUUUUUUUUAUUAAUUACCAUUUACAUUACAACAUAUAUGGUGUUGUGAUGGAUAAAUUAAAUAUGUUAAUCAAGAUUAUUACUUCCCUCAACAACAAAAAAAUAUUGCUAUUGAUUACCGUCCAAUAAACAACUGGUCAUAGCUUUCUUUGUCAACUACAUAAUGAAAAAUAAUUUUUUAAAGAAAUUAUUGAAAUAAAAUCAUAACAAAUUAUAAACGAAUAUACAAUUUACCGAAGAAAAGAGGACAUGAGAUUGCUGGUGAAACUUGGGCGUUGCCAUUUGAUAGUGUGUGUGCAUGAUGUUUAUUUUUGAUUUCGACUAAACUGACUUUAAAUAUGCAGAAAAUGAUAAACUCAAUUAUGAACUAAUAGUAAAAAGCAUUAAAAUGAUAAGUAAUUUAUUAACUAAUUUCAUCAAUAUUAUAUUCCUUUGUUCCAUUUUUCAGUCCGAUUACAUAUAAAUCAUACCAAAAAACUACACAAUCCUUCUUUGUAUAAGAGACAUAAAAUAGUGACUCAUCAUAGUAAAAAAUUUAUCUAUAUUCUUUUCUAAGAACGACUAAUUUCUUUGGAAUCUCAAAGUUUGUCAUAAUGUCAUCUUUUUUCCCCUGGGCUCUCGUGUGAAGAAUAUGUUGUCUUGAACUCAACCAUCAUAUAAUCGGUUUCAUCUAUAAAAUAGUAUCUCCAUAUUCUUAUUUUUUUGUGCUUGUUCGUGAUUUCUUGAUUCAAUACCUUGUAUGCAUAGCAACCGCAAAAGUAAAAAAAAAACUAUAUUAUUCAUUUAUAAACCAUCCAUAAAUUUAAAUAGAAUAAUAACGAAAACAAAAAAGCAUAAUAAUGUCAUAAAAGCAUAAGGAAAAAAUAAAAUAAGUCACAUGAAAAAAAAAAUAAAGGAGAGAUGAAUAAUUUUUUUAUAGGAGAGACGAAGAAACUACUUUUUAUGUGAACAUUUGAUUCAUCAAAAUCGCAGCAUGAAGGAAAUAUUACUCUUGGAACAUUGAUAUCAAUGAAAAAAAAUAUGAAGAAAAAAGAAUAAAAAAACUAAACAAUCUUUGUCUGAACAUUUUAUUCAUCAAAGCCACAACAUAAAGAAAAUAUAAAUUUUGGAGCAUUGAUAUCAAAGUUAAAAAAGAAGAAGAACAAAGAAUAAAAAAACAGAGGAUAACAGUUGUGAAUUGUGAUGUGAAAUUAUGCCAAUCCAUAUUUCUAAUUUAUAGACUUGUUUCACACCGUAAUUUGGUAUGAUAACCAUUAUUUUUUUAACAUUCAUAAAAAACAAUUGUUCUAUGCAGGGUAUUCAUUUACAAAAUUAUUUGGUCAUGAAUUAAUUUUAAUGUCCAUAAAUUGUUUUAAUAACCAUUAAAAGCGUAUCAUAAAAAAGUCUCCUAUUCUAAGUUUUUUUUUUUUUUUUGUAGGAAAUCUCCUAUGCUAAGUUAGAGGUGAUUUUGACAUAUAUAUAUAUGUAAUAUAAUCAUUUAAAAUAGAAGUCGUUUUUUUCUUCUGAUUAUGUGUUUUUUUUUUAUUAUUAUAAUAUAUGUAAUGAUCCAAGCAUAAACAAUUAAAAUUUUGGUCUGUGAUAAUAAUGAAUAUUUUCUCAAUAAAUGUUUCAUUAAAAAAAAAAUUAUUAAUAGUUUAUUUUCAUUAUUGUUUUCAGAUUAUAGUAAUAUUUAAGUUUGACCCAAUUUUUUAAUAAUAUUACAACAUAUGAACUUCUUUUUUUUUUUUAACGAAAAUAUAACAUAUGCUAUUUUUUAAGAACGAAAAUACAAAAUACAAUGAAGUGUAUCAUUUGGUUUUGUUACAUUUAAUUUCAAACACAAAAUAAUUUGGAUAUAAANAUUAAGAGAGUGGUCAUUAGGUAAUUACAUACGCAAUAUAUACCAAAAAGAGCACCAGCAGUGUUAUACAUCAAUGCUACACUAUAUCCAAAAGGAACUUGUUAGUGCUAUACUAUAUCGAUCCAAAAAAGAAUCACUAUAUCCAAAAAAAGAACACAACAGUACUAAGAGUUAACACUAACAAGUAACUAACGUUUAUAAUGUUUUUAUUCUUAUUUUUUACACAAAAAAAAAACAGAAAUCAAAAUAAUAUAAAAAAACACAAGUAUCUGUGCGUAUCGGGAUGUAUCGGAAAGUAUCGGAUAAUUAUUUUUUUAAAAAAUAAAAUUUAAUAUUUGGAUACUCUCCAGAUACGUAUCGGGAAGUAUCGGGCAGGUAUCGGUGCAGGAUACGCAGGGGAUACGAUACGUCAUCCAUUUUGAAGUAUGGAAGCUUCAUAGAUAUCACGUGAAUUUAAAAGUUAAUUUGGACAAGAACAAUGCAGAGUUCCAUAGAAAAUAUAAUCAAUUAUGUACUUUCUACGUGAAACUAACAAUAUUUUAAUUUUUUUUUUUUUUUCACAUUGAUUGCCCUUAAUGUCCGGAUUUAACACGUAAAGUUCAAAUAUUAGUUGUUUUUUUGGAUUGCUCCUAAAGUUCACCUGAUAGAAAAUAUAAUCAAAUACUAGUUGUUUUUGCAUUUUAAAUUUGUUACAUAGUCGAAGAGAUUCGAUUCCACCUCGAGAUAGUUAAAAAAAAAUAUUGUUUUUUAAGAGAAAGUUCUUAAAAAGAAAAAAAUACAGUUUAGGUAAUGGAUGUAACCUGCAAAGACAUUUUAGGGCGUGGAUAAAAUAAGAAGUAAAGUGCUAACAUUAUACAUAUACAUAUAUACAUACAUUUAAGCAAUUGCCACAAGAAACCGUGUCUUUAGAUAUGGUUAAAGAAGCUACCAAGAAGUGGUGUGUGAGUCAAGGUAGACUAAGUCAAAUGCUCAAUUAUUAAUUAAAGUGUGUAGGUAAAAAGAGAGUAACUAUGUGAUUUUGAGUUUGGUGAUUUUGAUGAUUUUGUUUCUAUCUCUUUUUUAAUUUUAAUAAUUUUCUCGCAUCAAAAUAAUUUGAUUUAAUCACACUUCUAUCAUUCUUUCUCAUCUAAAAUACACUAAAGUCAUCAAAUUGCACAAUCACUUAAGUAUACAAUGAAACCAUAACUUGAAGUGCAUAUUUUUUACCUACAUAUUCAAAAAAUAUCUAGUGUCAAAUAAGUAUACAAUCACAUAUGACAAGACGAAGAUACAAUAUCUAGUGUCAAAGUUCGAAGAGUACAAAUAUGUUUAUUUCACAAGAACACAAUAUGAGAGAGCUAUUAUUCAGGACAUAUUUUGGGCUCAUCUCGAAUCGAUUAAGUUGUUUAACAAUUUUCCAACAGUUUUGAUCCUUGACUCCACCAAUAAAAUAAACUUGUACAGGAUGCCAUUGUUUGUGAUAAUUGAGGUCACCUCAACCGAUAUGACAAAUUCGAUUGCUUUUGCAUUUCUGACGGCUAAAAAGGAGGAGAACAUACCUUGGGUUUUUCGGAUGUUGCGUCAACUUCUUAACUCAAAGAAAGAUAUGCCUCGAUUCCUAUUCAUUAUAUGCCAAAAUUCAUGACACCAUUUAUUAAGAAAAUUUUGGAUGUUAUAGGCGAUGAAAAAUGUGGGUUUCGGCUAUAGCUGAGUACAUGUGUUUGAUGAAAGAAAGUCAUGUUAUGGUUCGCAUAGCACUUAUUCAAGAGGUGAAAGAACAUAGGAGAGACUAUAUUCAAAUAUAUUUUAGUGAUGAUCGUUUUAACUAUAUCUUGAAUGGAUUGCAUCAUCCCGAAAAUAGUAGUUGUAUUGUACUUGAAGAUAAAUGGUUUACAGUGCCAGAUAUGGGUGGCAUCAUUGUAACCUAUUACAAUAUGGUUGUGGUGGAGUUGAGAAAUCUUGAAAUUGGAAUUUCAGAGACAUUUUUCUCAAUUAGAGGCAGGCCACCGCUUAACUCUUAAACCCACAUCAUGUUUCUUGGAUUAAUCUCAAAUCAUUUUGUUCUUUUUUUUUUUUUUUGUUUUGAAAGAAUGAUGUCCACUACCUCCAUCAUCUACGGAGCGGAAGCUACAAGAGUGAAGAGGCGUCGUCAUGGUAAUUUAAAUUUUGGAUCAACAAACCUGGUUCCGAGACCUCAUGAUCAUUGAAAAGAGACACAAACUGUCACGACUAAAAAAUGAGUCAAACUGAAACAAUCCAAUUUUGUGUGACACUACUGAAAAAGAAAAUGAAAAAUUUGAAGUUAUUGCGGAAGAUGAAGAUGAUUCAAUUCCGUUAGAUGGAAGAUGAAACUUUUUUGUUGGUGUUCAUCUUUUUUUUUUUUUUUUUUUUUUUCCGAUAUCACACCGACAUAUUUUUAUGGUAGAUAACGUAAUUCCAUUUUUUGUGGCCAAUAUAUUACUAACAUUUUAUAAAUUAUAUAAAUAUAGUAUGUGGUGGACAAAACACCGACAAUUUUCUUUGUUAUUAAUGUUCUGCAUUUAAUAUAUGUCUAUGUUUCGGCAAAUUUAUACUUUACCUUUCAUUUUGUUUUAUUCUUAUAUUUGAUAUUUCAAAAAAUUUUGUGAAGUUCAACAUGUCUAAAGAUGCUCAGAUUAAAGCUCAUGUUUGAUACUCUACUUUGAAGAAGACAAUUAAAGUUUUUUUUUAACUCCGACUGACACAAUGGAUGAGUUGAAGUCACAACUUAACAAAUAAUUUGUUUAUCUUGGUGAAAAUCAUACUACAUCUCGUGUAUUUGUACAUGUACCGUGUGUAGAUUUGAGGGCGGAUAAAGAUGAAGACACGUGGAAAAUGGCUCAUCGGGUUAUUCGUGACGAUAGCGACAUAGAUUUUUAUGUUUAGGUCUAUGGUUGAAAAUAUUAUGUUAUAUCUCUAUGUUCGUUCAAACUGCAGCUGCUCAGACUGUUGGUAGAGAUUUUUAUAUGUGUAUCGAUGUGUAAUGUGUUGUCUAAUGUUGCACUUUUGUUGAAUUUCAAUCAUCCGUAUAAUGUUCACGUAAUGUUGAAUUGAUUUAAUGUUAAUGGGCUAAAAUAUGGUUUUGGUCCCUGCAAAUAUGGCUCGUUUUGGUUUUAGUCCCUGCAAAAUUUUGUUGUUGUUUUUGGUCCCUGCAAAUAUGCCUCAUUUUGGUUUUGGUCCCUGGCUCCACUUUUGUGAUGAUUUGCACACGUGGCACAUGAUGACUGAACCCAUUUAUUAGAGAAAUAGUCCCUGCAAAAUAUUUUGAUUUUAAAAAAGGUCCCUGCAAAAUAUUUUGUUUAUGAAUUCGGAUUUUUGUUGGAUGUCUAAAUCCAUAACCGUAUCCACUUUUUUUACUCAACGAUUUUAGGAUCUCUUUUUUCAAAAUAACUUAUUCAAAACAGCUUAUUUAUGCAAAACAACUUAUUACGAUCUCUUUUUUCAAAUUAACUUAUUCAAAACAACUUAUUUAUGCAAAACAGCUUAUUAGGAUCUCUUUUUAAAAAACAACUUAUUUAUGCAAAACAACUUAUCAAGAUCUCUUUUUUUAAAACAACUUAUUUAUGCAAAACAAUUUCUUAGUAUCUCUUUUUUCAAAAUAACUUAUUCAAAAAAGCUUAUUUAUGCAAAAGAGCUUAUUAGGAUCUCUUUUUUCAAAACAACUUAUUUAUGCAAAAAAAGCUUAUUAGAAUCUCUUUUUAAAAAUAACUUAUUCAAAAUAAUUUAUUUAUGCAAAACAGCUUACUAGGAUCUCUUUUUUUAAAUUAACUUAUUCGAAACAACUUAUUUUUGCAAAACAACUUAUUAGGAUCUCUUUUUUCAAAAUAACUUAUUCAAAACAACUUAUUUAUGCAAAACAACUUAAUAGGAUCUCUUUUUAAAAAGAUAGCUUAUUCAAAACUACUUAUUUAUGAAAAAGAGCUUAUUAGGAUCUCUUUUUUCAAAACAACUUAUUCAAAAUAACUUAUUCAAAACAGCUUAUUUAUGCAAAAACAGCUUAUUAAGUUCUCUUUUUUCAAAAUAACUUAUUCGAAACAGCUAAUUUAUGCAAAACAUCUUAUAAGGAUCUCUUUUUCAAAACAUCUUAUUAGAGAUCCUAAUAAGUUGUUUGGCAUAAAUAAAUUGUUUUUUUUUAAAAAGAGAUCGUAAUAAGCUAUUUUGUAUUAGAUAAGCGAUUUUGAAUAAGUUGUUUUAAAUUUGGAUUAUUGUUUAUAAAACAUGGUUUUAAAAAUCAAUUUUGAAAGAGAAAUAGCUGGUUUUUAAUCCUGAUAUUAAAAUAAUCCGGAUAUUUUUUUUAAACCAAACCAUAUUCAUUUAUAAUCCGAUUUUGUAAAAAUAACCUGUUAUAUAUCCAUAACCGUUUACAUAACCGGUUUACAAUAAAAUAUGGUCCUGGUUAGGAAUCCAAAACCAUAUAAGUGGUUUAUAUAUGGAUAUGGUUUGGUCGGUCAAAAUAUCCAACCAUGCACACCCGUAACUAUAAGUAGAGAUUAAAGAAGUGACGGAGCCAUGAAUUUUAUAGAGCAUGGGCAAAAAAAUUAUCGCUAAAACGUUACUUCCUUCCUGCGAAUAAUUUCACAUUUUCCACGGAUAAUUUCACAUUUCCUGCAGAUAUAUCUUACCUGCGGAUUCUAAAAUCCUAAGGUAUUACCCGAUCACUCUACGCACAUAUAAGGGCUCAAAGCCGAAACAACUCAUAAACACCUCUUUUUUUCAUCAUUUUUUUUAAUCUUUUCUCUUUUUAUUUUGUUCUCGCUUGAACAGAGACCAACAUCACCCACACUAAAGUUCCACAUCCACCUACCCACAAGAAAAAACCUCCCUACAUCAAUCAAAGUUGCCAACGCAGCAAGAAGAAACCAUCAUAAACCAUCCUAUCUAAAAACAAAUUCAUAGCAAAAGAAUAUGCAAGGCAGCACCGAAACAGAAACAAAAACAUCACAAAAACUGCCAAUGCAAAGCACCAAAAGAAGAGGGGCAUCACAUAUAUAAUAGUAGACAAGUUAAAAUAUUAGAUCACCUAAAAAAAAAAUUCGAUGCUAUUAUUUUUGGAGAAUAUGAAUAUUUUAAUCAUAUACCUAAUAUUUUCAUUACACAUAUUAAGGAUAUGACUUAAUCACGACUUACUAGUUACUUCCACAUAAGAUAAAAUCAUUUUCUAGUAUAGCUUGUUCUCCAUUUGUAGCAUACGCAGCAACCAACUUCUAAAUGAUUUAAGAUGAUAACAUUAUGAAUUGUUCAUGACUUUGCAUAAGUAUAAAAACUAUUCGAGACAUACACUUGAACCUAAUUGCUUCACAAAAUGAUUAAAAGGGUGGAGAGUGUCUUCAUUUGAAGAGGUUACCAACUCUGAUUAAAAGAUAUAUAACAAUUAUACUUACCCUCAAAUAUUAAGACUUAAAAGACUCUGAUAUUGACCUAGUAGGUGAAGAAAGAUAUGGUUUAGGUGGUAUUUCAAGUAAAUUCAUGUUAACUUCUAACAUUUCAAUCACUUUACUCAUUGUAGGUCUAUCACUUGGAAAUGUUUGAAUGCACCAUAAACCCACAAUUGUCAUUCUCCUUGCAAUCUUGUCUUCUUCUGUAUCCAUAACUCCAUCAGGUCUCAAAUUACUACCAAGCUCAAGCCUAUUGUAUACCCAGUGAGGAAAGUAUAUCUCACUUGUGAGACUUGCAUCAGCAUUAAUGUUUUUCCUCCCUCCAACCAUUUCCAGCAACAUCAUUCCAUAACUAUAAACAUCGGACUUGUAUGAAACUCCUCCAAAAUGUCUAUUCCACAUUUCUGGAGCUACAUAUCCCAUAGUCCCUCUUUGAUCUGACAUCGAAAUAAUGCUCUCGUUCCUUGGACAAAGUUUUGCAAGUCCAAAAUCUGAAAUCUUUGGACAAAAAUUCUCAUCUAAAAGAAUAUUAUGUGGUUUUAUGUCGAAAUGUAAAAUUCGAGUGGUACAUCCUCUAUGCAAGUACUCUAGUCCACGAGCUAUUCCUUUUGCAAUUUGAUACAAAUUAUCCCAACUCAAAGAUGCAAUGGUUUCUGGUCCCUUAUUGUAAAUAAGUUUGUCAAGAGAACCAUUGGACAUAAAUUCAUAUAUGAGUGCUUUUUUUGUGCCUUCAAAACAAAAUCCAAGAAGGGUGACAACAUUAACAUGUGAGGUUCUAGUAAUACUAGCAACCUCAUUAAUAAAUUCUUCACCAUUUCCUUUGGAUGAAUUCAAUAUCUUUAUCGCAGCGUGGCAACCAUUGAAUAACUUUCCUUUGUACACAACACCAAAACCCCCUUGACCAAGUUUAACCUUGAAAGAGUUUGUCAUUUUCUUUAUUUCUGAAUAUUUAUAUCUUUUCUGCAACAGAGCUCCAUGAUCUUUUAAAAAUGCUUCGAUUUUUUUUUCAUUCCUAGUUCUACACUGAAAUUUUCCUUGUCGAAUUGAUGAUUUGCUUCUAAGACAGUAAAUAAUUAUGCACAUUAACAAUACGGUCAUAACCGCACUUACAACACCUGUUUAAAAGGAGAAUCGAUUAAUUAUGUCCUGAUAGAAGAAACUAAACUGAAUAAAUAUAAAGAAAAUUUAUAUUUUCUUUUCUUAUAUAGUUAUUUGGUGUGUCAAUGAUCUCCUUCUAAUCCUUAAUCAAAAUACUCUUGGUAAAGUUGUACAAAGAAUCUUGGUUAGAAUUCACAAACAUUAAUAUCAUCAAAGACAUGCUAAAAUAUGAAUAAUCAUUUUAGGUUAAAAAAUUUGAAGACGCAUGAUUUAAGAUUGAUUAUCUAGUAUUUUUUAUUUAUUUUUGAUUCAAAAAUAUAUAAGUAACUUCAGGAAUUCCCUUAAUUAGUGACCAAAUCAAAAUUGCAUUACUGACGGAUUUAGACCCUUAGUAAUUACUGGCCGCCCAAACCCUCAGUAAUACGAAAAAAAACCUCGGUAACAUUACUGACGGAUAUAACCCCUCAAUAAUCCCAAAAGUUACACACAAAAAUAAGAAUUAUUAUUAUAAUAGGAUUACUGACAGAAAAAUCCGUCUGUAAUGUUAAUGACCGAUCUGACUUAAUUAGUGGCGGAAUUUUUCCGUGAGUAAUGAUUUGGGGAUGAAAUUUUUUUAGUGCCGGAUUUAAAUUUGUCGGUAAUGUAAGGAUGGAAUGAAAAAAAUCAGCCAGUACUGGCGGAUUGUUCCGUUAGUAAUUACUGAGGGAAUAAUUUCUUAGUAAUGUUUUGUCAUGACUACCAAUUCAUUACUGAGGGAAUAUUCCGUCGGUAACAUUAUUGACGCCAGUAUUACUGAGGGACACCUAUCCCUCAGUAAUAUUCAUUACUGACAGAUUUUGUGCAUUAUUAAGGGUUUAGUUCAGCCAGUAAUAAGCAAAAUUCUUGUAGUGAGUGAAACUCACACAAUAGAUAUAAGGUGUAAAUUAGAAUUAACAUGUCAAAUCUUCCUAUAACUUUUUAUCCUCGUGUCUAUAGAUGCGGAGAAUAACGAUUAAAGUGAGGUUUGAUAUAUUACCUAUAAUGACAUUCCUUUUCCAGUUAGAGUGACUGCCUGCAAACAAUCAUAAACAUAAAGAGCAAGAGGAAUUAAAAUAUAUUCUGCUUAAAUAAUUUUAUAGACACAUAUAUAGUGUCAUAGAUUAGAAAAUUUAUGAUCAAAGAGGUAGAAGGGUGAAGAACAUACCAGUUGUAGCACGAUGAAAUUGUUGAGUAAAAUUCGAUAAAGGAUUAGGCGAUAAGAAUGUCGGUGUCGGUGUUGGCGUUGAUGUUGGUGUUGGUGUUGGUGCUGGUGUCGGAGAUAUUAUAAUUGAUACAUUUGACAGAACGUGUGGUUCGCUAAUUGAUACAUUUGACUUUGACAGAACGUGUGGUUCUCUACUUGAUACAUUUGACUUUGACAGAACGUGUGGUUCGCUGUAAACUAAAUAUAGGAAAAAAAAAUUAAUCACCAUCAGUAACAGUAUAUGCGGAUAAAAAAAGAAUCUUCUUCUUACGCAUUUUCUAAAAUAUAGUUUGUACGUAGAUCCUUUUAAAAAUAGGAUAAUAAUAAAUAUUUGGUAAGAAACAAGACUCUAAUAUUUGUGAUUCCCUAAAAAAAAAAUCAAAUAUUUGUGAUAGUAUAAAUUUUUUCUCUUGGUGGUCGCAUAAAUCGAAAAAAAUCAAUCAAUGAUUUCAAUUAUGGUUUGCUCUAUGCUUGGUUUCCUUUCAAAAAAAUAAAAGCUCAAAUACUUUUAAGUAUUUAUUUUUGAAAAAAAAAAAUCUAGGCUUAAUUAGAUCAUAAGGUCAGGGCCAAAGAAUUUUCAUCAUUAUGAUAGUAGCGAAAAGAUGAAUAUGUGAGUGUUUUUCAGCUCUUUUUAUCGCGUUAACGUUUGAAAAUUAUGAAUGAUGUUUUUUUUUUUUUAUGAAAUUUUGAUUUUGAUUAAAAUUAAAAAUAUAAAUGUUUGUUGCUUUCAAGUUAUAACAAACCAAACUAACCAUGAUUAUCUAUUUCAAUGACAUCGACAACAAUCUUUAAUUGAGAAAAAAUUGUUAUAACAAAAAAUAAUAAUAUAAAUUCUUAUAUUUUUAAUGACAUCGACAACAAUCUUUAUUUGAGAAAAAAUUGUUUAAUGGUAUAAAUGAGAUAAUGAAAAAGUAAGUAUAUACUCAUCUAAUUUGUUACACUUUUUAAAUGAGAAAGGAAAAAAACUUGACAUAUAUAUAUAUACUAAUAUCGUGUUUGUUACACUUUUAUUUUAAUAUUUAAAUUUACUCCUAUCUAUUUGAUUAUAUGUGAUAUUAGCAUUGAAAAUUGAGAGUAAUUUUGAAAACUGAAAAAGUCAGCCUAAAAAAUUCAAAACAUGUUAUUUUCUUUAUAUAAAAGGGACAUCAAAGAAAAUAACAUGUGUUGUUUAACGAAGUGCACAACAAAAACUAUUUUGAAUUUUUGAUACAUUGAAGGACUAUUGUGGUUACUUAUUACCCGUUUGAACAAUCAGGCACAAAUCUAUUCACAUAAUAUGGGGGCAAAUUGCCCCACUAAUGUUUGUCUUUUGUUUGUUAAAGUAUUUGAUAUUUAAUUAUUGCUUCCUUUUAAAAUAAUAGAAUCUCCAUGAACCAGAAUUUUAUUCGAUAAGAGGUUAUCUCGUGAAUUUUAUAGAAUCAAAUGUGCAAAUGCAUUUGAGAUGAUAUUUUGAAUAGAGGAGUGAUAUUUGUACAAUCAAUUUUGUACAACCUUUGUGACAACCACUUUUUCUCUCUUCUUAUCGGACAAAAUCAACAGAGAGAGAAAGAAAAGGAGAGAGAAUAAAAACACAUAUGAAUAUGAGAGAGAGAGUUAUUUCAAAAGUUAUCAAAAAAUGGUUGUAGAAAUAUCAUUUCUCUUUUAAAUAUAUAGAUAUGUAAAGAAACAACGUUUAAACAAAAUGUAUAAUAUUUUGUACAAUAUAUAAUGAUAUAGUGAAUCAGUGAUACCAAAUGGUGGAUACCAAAUGGUAUGUCAAAGUCAACUAGUCAAUAAAUCUCAACUUUUGAAGCAUCCGACAAAUGGUGGGUACCACGUGAUUUUAAAAGAUAAAAAAAGUUGGAUUCAGAUAAGAUAUCCUUUUUUCUCUUAAUAAUGGAGAUCCUUUUUACUCUUUAAUAAUAAAAAGUUGGGUUUUUUUUUUUUUUUUUUUUUUUUUGAUAGAUAGACGAAAUGGCAAAGCCAUUAUAAACUCACACACACAAGUGGAGGUACUGGGGUUCGAACCCCGAUCAUGGCAUCCGGCCUAACAAUUUCGGCAUUUUGCCAGUUGAGCUAGGACUUCUGGAUAUAAAAAGUUAGGUUUUACUCUUAAUAAUAGAGAUCCUUUUUUCUAUGUGUGACCCUUAAAAAUAAUAUUGAUGAUUCUAUAAAAAAGAAUGUUAUAGUAAAUUUACCUAGAUCUCUUCCUCAUUUCUUAAUAUUGGCAUGUCAAUGAGAAUCAAAACAUCAUAUAACCAUAAACUAUGUUGAUGAUUUCUUUUAUAGAAAUUAAAACUAGAAUAUAAUCAACUUAUAAUAGGGUAAAAGAGAUAAUUAGUAGUACCACAGUUCACAAAUUCGUAAUCCACCACGAGGUAACCUUGAGACAUCCCGUAACCACUGGUGUCAAGCUUUUGAAAGACAUCCAUAUCCAAUUCAAGCCCUCCAUGACUACAGUUAUCAACAAUUCUUACUGUUUGGGUGAUCGGAAAUCUUAAUUGUGCUACCGUACUCCCACUAUC